rnacentral:rRNA from 1 species
UACAGAGGGUGCGAGCGUUAAUCGGAGUUACUGGGCGUAAAGGGCGCGUAGGCGGUUAUUUAAGUGAGAUGUGAAAUCCCUGGGCUUAACCUAGGAAUUGCAUUUUAGACUAGAUGACUGGAGUACAGUAGAGGGUAGCGGAAUUUCCGGUGUAGCGGUGAAAUGCGUAGAGAUCGGAAGGAACAUCAGUGGCGAAGGCGGCUACCUGGACUGAAACUGACGCUGAGGCGCGAAAGCGUGGGGAGCAAACAGG